rnacentral:rRNA from 1 species
UGCCAGACUCCUACGGGAGGCAGCAGUGAGGAAUAUUGGGCAAUGGAGGCAACUCUGACCCAGCCAUGCCGCGUGAGUGAAGAAGGUUUUCGGAUUGUAAAGCUCUUUCGGAUGUGACGAUGAUGACGGUAGCAUCUAAAGAAGCCCCGGCUAACUUCGUGCCAGCAGCCGCGGUAAUACGAAGGGGGCAAGCGUUGUUCGGAAUUACUGGGCGUAAAGGGAGUGUAGGCGGUUUAGUAAGAUAGUGGUGAAAUCCCAGAGCUUAACCUUGGAAUUGCCAUUAUAACUAUUAGACUAGAAUUACAGAGAGGAUAGUGGAAUACCCAGUGUAGAGGUGAAAUUCGUAGAUAUUGGGUAGAACACCAGUGGCGAAGGCGGCCUACUGGACGGUGACUGACGCUGAGGCUCGAAAGCGUGGGGAGCAAACAGGAUUAGAUACCCUAGUA